GACGAACGCUGGCGGCGUGCUUAACACAUGCAAGUCGAGCGGUAAGGCCCUUUCGGGGGUACACGAGCGGCGAACGGGUGAGUAACACGUGGGUGACCUGCCUUCAGCUCUGGGAUAAGCCUGGGAAACUGGGUCUAAUACCGGAUAUGACUCCGCGGUGCAUGCUGUGGGGUGGAAAGCCUUGUGCGGCUGGAGAUGGGCCCGCGGCCUAUCAGCUUGUUGGUGGGGUGAUGGCCUACCAAGGCGA
rnacentral:rRNA from 1 species